ACACUUCAACAUGACUACAAUUUCAACAAUUGUAUGUUAUAAUUUUCUUUCUACAAUUAUCUUAACUUGAAUCUUGAAUCUUGAAUUGGAAUUUGAGUUUGAUUCUUUAUGAGUUUUUUUUUUCACAUAUCUUUACUAAUCAUGAUGUGUUGUUCCUGUUGUGUUAUCAUAUGGGUUUGAGUUGAUGAUUCAUAUCUUUAGUUGGGUUGGAUGAAAGUUAUUGUUUUGAUCGGAAUAUUGGGGUGUUUGGUUUGCAAAUCUUGAAAAGGGGGAGUGCCAAUCUGGUAGUGAUUAUUGGUUUUUAUUGUGUUUUUGUUUUGUGGGUAUUAAAGAUAGUGAUAACUGUGUGCUUAAGUUGGAAUUUUAUUUGUUGUUCUUUGUAUCUUGCGUUCAUGGGAGGUCGAUCAGGUACAGAAGGAAGAACAGUUGAACAACAAGUUCUAGAGUCAAAUCCAGUUCUGGAAGCCUUUGGGAAUGCGAAAACGGUGAAGAACAACAAUUUCACAUUAAAAUCGUUAUGGUAAAUUUGUAGAGAUCCAAUUCGACAAGCAAGGGAAGAUAUCCAGAGCCGCGGUUAGAACUUACCUUCUAGAGAGAUUACGAGUUUGCCAGUGUCAGAUCCUGAAAAGAACUACCAUUGUUUUUACAUGCUCUGUGCAGCACCCCCCGAGGAUGUCAAGAGGUUCAAAUUAGGAGACCCGAGAACGUUUCAUUAUUUGAAUCAGACUAAUUGCUAUGAAGUAGCGAAUAUAGACGAUGGAAGAGAGUAUUUGGAAACACUUAGUUUAUCUGUCACUUACUUUAACCUCGAGUUCCCGAAAAAUCAUCUCUAUCAGUAACACAUGUAACACCUAUUAUUUGCAAGUCUUGUGGAGUUGAGGUAUCGACAUUUAUUAGCGAAGAAUCGUCCGAUGUGUCAUCAGAUGGGGUGUUUCUGGGUGCAAAGAGGGAUAGUGUGUCUCAUGGUGGAGUGGACGUUGACUGAGAGUGGCGUGGGCCCAAGCGUAGGAAGGAUAUUUUAUGGGUUGAUAAAGGUAAAAAGGAAAAUAAUUUCUCUGGUUCCAUGUAUUCCCAUUUGAAGGUUUCACUUGGAGAUGUUUGUAGCUUGGAUGACUUGAGAGAAAGAAUGGUGGUUUACUUGAGCCAAAGUAACUGCCAUGAGAUUCUUGAUGCUAUGACUCAUGUUACAAAGAAUAUUGAUGAAGGAAGACUUAAAAUGAAGGCCCACUGUCCAAUGGUUACUGAUGUUGGAAUGAAGGAGAAUGCCUUGAAGAUUCUAAUGGGUUAUGUGGUAUUUUAAAUUUAGCGAUUUUGAUAGUAAUACCGGUGACACCAAUAACGACCACUAUCUCCGUACCUUACCAACGACAACCUCCGUUACUGCCGACAAGCUCUAUCAAGCACCACCGUAAUGUCGUAAUGUCGACAAGCUCAAGCUCAAGCUCCGAUCAGUUUUGUUUUAUUAUUUAGAAAAUGAAUAGUGUAAUUUUACGUAGAAUCUAUUUUUGAUAUGAGAUUUGAAUGAGAAGUUAUGUAAUCUUCAAAUUUAUUAGUUCCGACAAGUUAUUAGCGGAUAUGAGAAUCCUUUGUUUGAGUUUUUGAUAUACAGAUUCUUAGUUCGACAAGUUAUGUAAUUUGGAAAUGGCUUGUGUAAUCUCCGGGGAUCUUCCCUGCAAAUUCUCCGGCAAGACUCAAGAGCAUUAGCGGCGACGCGUGUAUUAGCAUCGACAUUUUGAUCAAUAGCCGACAAGAAUUAGCGGCAUCAUCUUUAGCAAAGUCGGGAUACGAGACAUUGACGCUCGCCAACUAAAGUAGUUUAUUUUUCAAUAGGGCCACUGUUAAAAUAUGCAUCUACAUUUUACAAUUCUAUUGUUAUAAGUUGAUACUUAAUACUUGUUCUCUAUUUUCUCAUGUUACUGGAUAUGUUGGAGCACAAUUCGACUUAUUUGUGGACUAUUCGGCUGCUUGCAUUAUUGGGCUUACUUGGACUGAAGACAGAAGAUAGAAGACAGAAAGCCUGGGAUGCAUAACCUUUCAGUUUCAGAACACUAACAUCUAAUGUUUUAGUUGCAGGGAAUGAAAAAGUGGUGUUUUUGCAGUCUACCUACGUGUUUAAUCAUCGAGUGGGUUAUUGCUACAAUUCAUGGAUUCUGGAUAAAAACUUAAGUGGCAAGAUCGACAGGCCAGACAGGUCGAGUAAAGGGUCAUAGUUAAGUGCAGAAAAUGGUGGAGUCGGUUUGUAAUUCAUCUUGGUUUCAAUUAUUUUACCUGAUAUUAUAUGCGGUUUAUUAUUUCUUUUUUCUUUUUUUUUUUUUUUGGUUUUAAAUUAGGUGAAGGAAAUGGUGGAGCGGUGUUGGGUCGAUUAAGGCGCAAGUGGUUGGUUCCGAUGACCGUUGAUUCAUAUAUCUGGUUGUAGGUCAAGUUAUGGAUAGAUAUGGUGAUUGAUAGUUGAUGUUUCUGUUGAAAUGGGCGUUUUUCGGCGAAUGGUGAGAUCAGUAGGUUCAAAGUGACUAUGGUGAGGGUUUCGGGUGAUCAACCAACAUUUUAGUGAAAAAGAUUUAACUCGGGUCAGCGGACGGUCAUCAGGAAUGUAUAAAUGUACACUCAAGUCGUUUAGAUAAUUUAAUAUAAUUAUCAUCAACCUCUGUUCAAUGAGGUGCAUUAAGGUUGUACACUGUUGAAGCCGAGAGAAAAGGGAAAGGCUAUAGCUGAUACGGGCGUUAUUCAGACUGAAGCUGCAGCAAAGAGGGAACUAGCGCUUGAUGGGUCGGAUAUAAAAUGGAGUAAUAAUGACAUGGGGAUGGGGCGAAAACGGUUAGCUUGGUUUAGGAGAUACAUGUGAUCACACUUGUCCUCAGGAUUCAGUUCAUGCAUUAAAGAAUGAACACGGUUCUUAAACAGAGACCAUCUUAAACCGAUGAUUUCUCUUUCUUUUGAUCGAGUUUCUAGGGGAAAUCUAUUAUCUAUCUGUUACCGACUGGAUGAGAUGUGGGUUUGACUUGAAUAAAACUCUAUAUAUGUUAUUGUUUAUGAUUGACUUUUAU